AAUAGCGCAGUGGUAGCGCGUCGGUCUCAUAUUAAUAUCCGAAAGUCGUGAGUUCGAACCUCACUUG
rnacentral:tRNA from 1 species